UGCUAAAUAGAGGAUGUGCUCAGAAUAUAUCCUUGCAUGCGGAAAACCACACCCCACACCACUCUUUCAUAUCAUCUAUAUAUAUGGAUGUCAAUCCUGAAAGUGUUCAUCGACAUCAAGUGAGUAAAAUCAAAUGCAUGGAUGAAUUGCUGGGCAAUACUCCAUUGGCAGUUGGCCACUCGGCUGACCGCGGUUGACUUCACAAGUAGCAGACUAAGCUCACUGCCAAAGGAGAUUUGCCCCUCAAUUCAGCUGUGCAGUCAAUCCAUCCAGCCAUCUUAGCUUACCUUCCAACCCAAUGUAAGAGCUCCUUUUGUGGCGUGAGAGUGGCCGGCACAGGCACGGGACAUGCACUGACUUUAAUUAGUAUUAUAUUUGACAAAUCCGAUCUUUAUUUAGUUCAGUUAACUUCACUUGUUUAUGUUUUCAAUAUUACUUGUAAGAUACUGUCAAGUCUGCUGCAGGUGAAGAAUUUUGGUGGCCCACACCCCAAAAGGUUAAAUUGUUGGAAGAAAAUAGUGGACAUAUACUCGAGCGUGUCCAAAUAACUACAUGUAGUGCAAGAGACGAAACACAAAAACACAAAUAUGGAUAAUUCUGAAUGUGACUUGGGCUGGUCAGAGAUUGGAAGAUUAGUAUUCUGGCUUAAAACAAGCUAGCCAUUAAUAAAUUUGAUAUAUAUGGUCUAGUCUCUUUGAUAAAUGUUAUUACAAAGCGUGGGAAUCUUUGAGCAAUGUAGUACGCACCCCUACUAAGACUGCAGAGAAAAAUGGUUUGUACUAUACAUGCAUUAAGAGUACUACCAGAGAAGAAUGGUAUCCAUUUGAUGUGA